AUUGAACGCUGGCGGCAGGCUUAACACAUGCAAGUCGAGCGGGGUGAUGGUGCUUGCACUAUCACUUAGCGGCGGACGGGUGAGUAAUGCUUAGGAAUCUGCCUAUUAGUGGGGGACAACAUCUCGAAAGGGAUGCUAAUACCGCAUACGUCCUACGGGAGAAAGCAGGGGAUCACUUGUGACCUUGCGCUAAUAGAUGAGCCUAAGUCGGAUUAGCUAGUUGGUGGGGUAAAGGCCUACCAAGGCGACGAUCUGUAGCGGGUCUGAGAGGAGGAUCCGCCACACUGGGACUGAGACACGGCCCAGAAUCCUACGGGAGGCAGCAGUGGGGAAGAUUGGACAAUGGGGGGAACCCGGAUCCAGCCAUGCCGCGUGUGUGAAGAAGGCCUUAUGGUUGUAAAGCACUUUAAGCGAGGAGGAGGCUCUUUUGGUUAAUACCCAAGAUGAGUGGACGUUACUCGCAGAAUAAGCACCGGCUAACUCUGUGCCAGCCGCCGCAGUAA
rnacentral:rRNA from 1 species